GAUGAACGCUGGCGGCGUGCCUAAUACAUGCAAGUCGAGCGAACGGACGAGAAGCUUGCUUCUCUGAUGUUAGCGGCGGACGGGUGAGUAACACGUGGAUAACCUACCUAUAAGACUGGGAUAACUUCGGGAAACCGGAGCUAGUACCGGAUAAUAUUUUGAACCGCAUGGUUCAUAAGUGAAAGACGGUCUUGCUGUCACUUAUAGAUGGAUCCGCGCUGCAUUAGCUAGUUGGUAAGGUAACGGCUUACCAAGGCAACGAUGCAUAGCCGACCUGAGAGGGUGAUCGGCCACACUGGAACUGAGACACGGUCCAGACUCCUACGGGAGGCAGCAGUAGGGAAUCUGCCGCAAUGGGCGAAAGCCUGACGGAGCAACGCCGCGUGAGUGAUGAAGGUCUUCGGAUCGUAAAACUCUGUUAUUAGGGAAGAACAUAUGUGUAAGUAACUGUGCACAUCUUGACGGUACCUAAUCAGAAAGCCACGGCUAACUACGUG
rnacentral:rRNA from 1 species